AGGACGAACGCUGGCGGCGUGCUUAACACAUGCAAGUCGAGCGGAAAGGCCCUUCGGGGUACUCGAGCGGCGAACGGGUGAGUAACACGUGAGCAACCUGCCCCUGGCUCUGGGAUAGCCUCCGGAAACGGGGAUUAAUACCGGACAUGACCCUUGACCGCAUGGUUGGGGGUGGAAAGUUUUUCGGCCAGGGUGGGGCUCGCGGCCUAUCAGCUAGUUGGUGGGGUAAUGGCCUACCAAGGCGACGACGGGUAG
rnacentral:rRNA from 1 species